UGACCUAAAGGGAUGUAGUUGGCAUCCUGACCGUGACUUAUGCUGAUGUCACAAUCCUGGCUUCGUAAUCCCAACAGCGCUCACAAUACCGCCUGUGGAAUCCCAACUGCCAUAAUGCCGAAGGACUUUAAGAUUUACAGUAAAAAAUUGUUUUAUGGAAAUUAAGAGACAAUGUAUAUAAAUCGAAGAGGACAAAUGGUUUGUCAAGUGCUGUUCUGGAACAGCCUAAGAUGUUCUGGUGAUGUCAUAGGUACUCUUCAUGAAGUUCAGCAACUUGUAACAAAAACACACCGAAGAAAAGUAAAUGAAUAUAAUCCAUUCCAUUUACAACAGCAAAUACUGCUAGUACAUGAAAAGAUGAAACUACUAAUAGAAAGGAACUUAAUGGAGAUACCACAACGGAAUUUCCUCCAUGCGGCUCUAUAGGUGAUGGACGGGCUAAGAAGACUCAUAAGCAGCUAAGUUGGAACUGGAAAAACAUGAAAUAAAAUAGAAAUAAAAGUUAAAAAGAUAGAAAACCAGAAGACGUUGAUAAACAGGCUGUGCCGCGAUGCAGCUGUAUACUAACAAAAGAAACUGUUCUAUUUUAAAGCCCAUUUCCAGGAACAGAGGGUAUGAUCCAAGCUUUCACACCUGCAAAAAACAGACCACAUCCCCUGUUUAUGUUUGCUCAUAUUAAGUCAACUUACAAACUCCAAAUACUUUGCCCCCGAGAGCUCACCUAGAGACGUGGUUUCGAAUUAUAAAGUGCCCAUGCCAAAUUUAAAUCAUUUCCUGACCAUUUGCAGCAGAGCAGGGUAUAAGAUCCCGCACAGCUUCAACAACUUUGAAAAAAAGAAGAAAAAAAAGAAAAAAAUUCCAAAA